GUUUGAUCCUGGCUCAGGAUGAACGCUGGCGGCGUGCCUAAUACAUGCAAGUCGAACGAGGAGUACUUACUUCGGUUUUUACUCCUAGUGGCGAACGGGUGAGUAACGCGUUGGUGACCUGCCCCGAAGCGGGGGACAACAGUUCGAAAGAACUGCUAAUACCCCAUGUGGUCUUACUGGUUAGAGGCUGUAUGACUAAAGGAGUAAUCCACUUCGGGAGGGGCCUGCGUCCCAUCAGCUAGUUGGUAAGGUAACGGCCUACCAAGGCAAAGACGGGUAGGGGGCCUGAGAGGGUGGCCCCCCACACUGGCACUGAAACACGGGCCAGACACCUACGGGUGGCAGCAGUAGGGAAUAUUGCACAAUGGGCGAAAGCCUGAUGCAGCAACGCCGCGUGCGCGAAGAAGGCCUUCGGGUCGUAAAGCGCUUUUCUGGAGGAAGAGGAAGGACGGUACUCCAGGAAUAAGGAUCGGCUAACUACGUGCCAGCAGCCGCGGUAACACGUAGGAUCCGAGCGUUAUCCGAAUUUACUGGGCGUAAAGCGCGUGUAGGCGGUCGGGUAAGUUGGACGUGAAAGCUCCUGGCUCAACUAGGAGAGGUCGUUCAAAACUGCCUGGCUAGAGGGCGACAGAGGGAGGUGGAAUUCCCGGUGUAGUGGUGAAAUGCGUAGAUAUCGGGAGGAACACCAGUGGCGAAGGCGGCCUCCUGGGUCGCACCUGACGCUCAGACGCGAAAGCUAGGGGAGCGAACGGGAUUAGAUACCCCGGUAGUCCUAGCUGUAAACGAUGUGGACUUGGCGUUGGUGGGGUUAAAUCCAUCAGUGCCGAAGCUAACGCGAUAAGUCCACCGCCUGGGGACUACGGUCGCAAGAUUAAAACUCAAAGGAAUUGGCGGGGGCCCGCACAAGCAGCGGAGCGUGUGGUUUAAUUCGAUCUACACGAAAAACCUUACCCGGGUUUGACAUCCAGGUGGUAGGGAGCCGAAAGGUAACCGACCCUUCGGGGAGCCUGGACAGGUGCUGCAUGGCUGUCGUCAGCUCGUGUCGUGAGAUGUCCGGUUAAGUCCGGUAACGAGCGCAACCCUUGCUGUAUGUUAUACGUGUCAUACAGGACUGCCGGUUUAGUGCCGGAGGAAGGCGGGGAUGACGUCAAGUCAGCAUGGCCUUUAUAUCCGGGGCUACACACACGCUACAAUGGUCAGUACAACAGGUUGCAAAACCGCGAGGUGGAGCCAAUCCCCAAAACUGGCCUCAGUUCAGAUUGCAGGCUGCAACUCGCCUGCAUGAAGUCGGAGUUGCUAGUAACCGCGCGUCAGCUAUAGUGCGGUGAAUACGUUCUCGGGCCUUGCACACACCGCCCGUCACGUCAUGGAAGCUGGUAACACCUGAAGCCGGUAUCCCAACCGCAAGGAGGGAGCUGUCGAAGGUGGGACUGGUGACUGGGACGAAGUCGUAACAAGGUA
rnacentral:rRNA from 1 species